rnacentral:rRNA from 1 species
AACUAAACAUAGCUCAAAAUUUAUAUUAUUUUAAACUAUCUUAUAAACUAAAACAAAACAUUUAUAACAAUUAAAGUAUUAGGCGAUAGAAAUUUUAUUUGGCGCUAUAGAGAAAGUACCACAAGGGAAAAUUGAAAGAGAAUUAUAAGUAAAAAACAGCAAAGCUUAAAACUUAUACCUUUUGCAUAAUGAUUCAACUAGAAAUUAUUAGCAAAAAGAAUUAAAGUUAAAUAACCCGAAACCAGACGAGCUACCUAUCAGCAGCCCACAGAGCGAACUCAUCUAUGUGGCAAAAUAGUGAGACGACUAAUAGGUAGUGGCGAUAAACCUACCGAGCCUGGUGAUAGCUGGUUGUCCAGGACAGAAUAUUAGUUCUAAUUUAAGUUUACUAGUAAAUAAACAAAUUGUAAAGUAAACUUAAAUGAUAAUCUAAAAAGGUACAGCCUUUUAGAUACGGGAUACAACCCCUGCUAGAGAGCAAAUCCUCAUAAACCACAAUAGUUGGCCUAAAAGCAGCCAUCAACUUAGAAAGCGUUCAAGCCCAACAGUUCAAAAACUUAAUCCCAUAAUAAAAAUUUACUCCUAACAUAAAACUGGACUACUCUAUUUCAAAAUAGAGGUAACAAUGUUGAUAUGAGUAACAAGAAAAAUUUUCUCCAUGCACAAAUGUAUAUCCGAACGAAUAAAUCACUGAUAGUUAUCAAAACAAGUAUUAUUAAUAAUUAAUCCCUCAAUACUAAUUGUUAAACCAACACAGGAGUGCAAUAAGGAAAGAUUAAAAAAAGUAAAAGGAAUUCAGCAAACACAAACCCCGCCUGUUUACCAAAAACAUCACCUCUAGCAUAAAAAGUAUUAGAGGCACUGCCUGCCCGGUGACUUUAGUUUAACGGCCGCGGUAUCCUGACCGUGCAAAGGUAGCAUAAUCAUUUGUUCUCUAAAUAAGGACUUGUAUGAAAGGCUCCACGAGGGUUUCGCUGUCUCUUGCUUUUAAUCAGUGAAAUUGACAUUCCCGUGAAGAGGCGGGAAUAAAAUAAUAAGACGAGAAGACCCUAUGGAGCUUUAAUUAACUAACUCACAAAAACCAUACAUUACACCUACAAGAAAUAACCUUAUUUUAACUGAGUAAGCAAUUUAGGUUGGGGUGACCUCGGAAUAAAAUAAAACCUCCGAGAAAAUUAUAUUAAGACCCACAAGUCAAAAUUUUAAUAUUAUACACUGAUCCGCCACCAGCGAUCAACGAAAUAAGUUACCCUAGGGAUAACAGCGCAAUCCUAUUUAAGAGUCCAUAUCGACAAUUAGGGUUUACGACCUCGAUGUUGGAUCAGGACAUCCCAAUGGUGCAGCAGCUAUUAAUGUGUUCGUUUGUUCAACGAUUAAAGUCCUACGUGAUCUGAGUUCAGACCGGAGUAAUCCAGGUCGGUUUCUAUCUAUUUAUAAGUCUCUCCUAGUACGAAAGGACCAGAAAGACAAGGCCCACUUAUAAUAAGCGCCUUAACAAAACAGAUGAAUUAAUCUUAACCCCAUUAUAUCUAUUACCCACCUUAGAUAAAGGACC